rnacentral:lncRNA from 10 species
GAAAAAGAGAGAAGAAAUUGAAAAUUAUGACAGUGGGUUUGGAGUUUCUCCUGUAAGUGAUUGGGAGCCAUUGAAGGAUUACAAGUAGUUGAAUAAAUCAAAAUAGUUUUUGAGAAGGAAGUUUCCCUGGAAGAAUGAUGCAUGAGUGUAAGUGAAUGAGAAUAACAUUUACAGGAAAUCUUAGAGUGAGAGGACAUAAUUUUCUCCUUCCAAUAUCUCCUUCUGGCUGACUAAGAUAAAAUGGAUAAAUGGAAAUGAUGGAGGAUUCUGAAGAUGUGGUUUCAACUCAUGGCUUUCAUUCAUUCAUUCAUUCAUUUUCUUGGCAAACAUUGGAGGACCUAUGUUAUGCAAGGCACUGUGCUGGGCAUCAGGAAUA